CCCUUAGAUGUUCUGGGCCGCACGCGCGCUACACUGACGAUGGCAACGAGUUUUUCCUUCGCCGAAAGGUGUGGGUAAUCUUUUGAAACAUCGUCGUGCUGGAGAUAGAUCAUUGCAAUUUUUGAUCUUGAACGAGGAAUUCCUAGUAAGCGCGAGUCAUCAGCUCGCGUUGAUUACGUCCCUGCCCUUUGUACACACCGCCCGUCGCUACUACCGAUUGAAUGGUUUAGUGAGGACUCCUGAUUGGCGCCGCCGCCCCGGCAACGGAGCAGCGGACUGCCGAAAAGUUGUUCAAACUUGAUCAUUUAGAGGAAGUAAAAGUCGUAACA
rnacentral:rRNA from 1 species